rnacentral:tRNA from 1 species
GCCACUUUAGCUCAGCUGGUAGAGCGACGCAUUCGUAAUGCGUAGGUCGCGAGUUCAAGUCUCACAAGUGGCU